UGGGGAAUUUUGGACAAUGGGCGAAAGCCUGAUCCAGCAAUGCCGCGUGUGUGAAGAAGGCCUUCGGGUUGUAAAGCACUUUUGUCCGGAAAGAAAUCCUUGGCUCUAAUACAGUCGGGGGAUGACGGUACCGGAAGAAUAAGCACCGGCUAACUACGUGCCAGCAGCCGCGGUAAUACGUAGGGUGCAAGCGUUAAUCGGAAUUACUGGGCGUAAAGCGUGCGCAGGCGGUUUGCUAAGACCGAUGUGAAAUCCCCGGGCUCAACCUGGGAACUGCAUUGGUGACUGGCAGGCUAGAGUAUGGCAGAGGGGGGUAGAAUUCCACGUGUAGCAGUGAAAUGCGUAGAGAUGUGGAGGAAUACCGAUGGCGAAGGCAGCCCCCUGGGCAAUACUGACGCUCAUGCACGAAAGCGUGGGGAGCAAACAGGAUUAGAUACCCUGGUAGUCCACGCCCUAAAACGAUGUCAACUAGUUGUUGGGGAUUCAUUUCCUUAGUAACGUAGCUAACGCGUGAAGUUGACCGCCUGGGGAGUACGGUCGCAAGAUUAAAACUCAAAUGAAUUGACGGGGU
rnacentral:rRNA from 1 species